rnacentral:rRNA from 1 species
UGGGGAAUAUUGGACAAUGGGCGAAAGCCUGAUCCAGCUAUGCCGCGUGAGUGAUGAAGGCCUUAGGGUUGUAAAGCUCUUUUAGAUGGGAAGAUAAUGACGGUACCAUCAGAAAAAGCCCCGGCUAACUUCGUGCCAGCAGCCGCGGUAAUACGAAGGGGGCAAGCGUUGCUCGGAUUUAUUGGGCGUAAAGGGUGUGUAGGUGGCUGUGUAAGUUAGAUGUGAAAGCCCUGGGCUUAACCCGGGAAUUGCAUUUAAGACUGCAUGGCUUGAAGUUUGGAGAGGUUAGCAGAAUUCCCAGUGUAGAGGUGAAAUUCGUAGAUAUUGGGAAGAAUACCGAUGGCGUAGGCAGCUAACUGGCCAAAACUUGACACUGAGGCACGAAAGCGUGGGGAGCAAA